rnacentral:rRNA from 1 species
UACGUAGGGUGCGAGCGUUGCCCGGAUUUAUUGGGCGUAAAGGGCGCGUAGGCGGCCACGCACGUCCGUUGUGAAAUCGCCCGGCUCAACUGGGCGGGGUCAGCGGAUACGGUGUGGCUCGAGCAAGCUAGGGGGCAAUGGAACUCCCGGUGUAGUGGUGGAAUGCGUAGAUAUCGGGAAGAACACCAGUGGCGACGGCGGUUGCCUGGAGCUUUGCUGACGCUGAUGCGCGAAAGCCAGGGGAGCAAACGGG